UAAUAGAUACCCGGGUAGUCCACACCCGUAAAACGAUGAGCGCUAGGUGUUGGGGGGUCGAACCUCAGUGCCGCAGCUAACGCAUUAAGCGCUCCGCCUGGGGAGUACGCACGCAAGUGUGAAACUCAAAGGAAUUGACGGGGACCCGCACAAGCAGCGGAGCAUGUGGUUUAAUUCGAAGCAACGCGAAGAACCUUACCUGGGCUUGACAUCCCUCUGACCGCUCCUUAACCGGAGCCUUCCCUUCGGGGACAGAGGUGACAGGUGGUGCAUGGUUGUCGUCAGCUCGUGUCGUGAGAUGUUGGGUUAAGUCCCGCAACGAGCGCAACCCUCGUCUUUAGUUGCCAUCAGUUCGGCUGGGCACUCUAGAGAGACUGCCGGGGAUAACUCGGAGGAAGGUGGGGAUGACGUCAAAUCAUCAUGCCCCUUAUGUUCAGGGUCUACACACGUGCUACAAUGGCCAAUACAAAGGGUUGCCAAGGAGUAAUCUGGAGCUAAUCCCAUAAAGUUGGUCCCAGUUCGGAUUGUGGGCUGAAACUCGCCC
rnacentral:rRNA from 1 species